rnacentral:rRNA from 1 species
AUGUUAGAAAAUUUUGUUCCCUCAUUUUCUCAGGAGAAGUCAUGUUUCUCAUGGUUAGAACAAGUGGUAAGUGUGACUAAUGUUUUAUUUUCUGUUACCAUGUUGUGGACCGUUGUAAACUGCAGAACAAUGGAUAUGAUAUGCAAGUGUUUUUGUUGUCUCGUUCAGAGUUGGAUGAUUCUGCAUCAUAUACUAUUUUUUUUGUGGGAGCUGCAUCAUAUACUACCUGUAUAUCUACUGAACAAAAAGUGCCCCAGUCGUUGUCGAUACAUGGCAGAACUAUUUUGUGUAUUUAUGCCGAACGAUGGCCUGCACUACUAA